GACGAACGCUGGCGGCGUGCCUAAUACAUGCAAGUUGAGCGCUGAAGGUUGGUACUUGUACCAACUGGAUGAGCAGCGAACGGGUGAGUAACGCGUGGGGAAUCUGCCUUUGAGCGGGGGACAACAUUUGGAAACGAAUGCUAAUACCGCAUAAAAACUUUAAACACAAGUUUUAAGUUUGAAAGAUGCAAUUGCAUCACUCAAAGAUGAUCCCGCGUUGUAUUAGCUAGUUGGUGAGGUAAAGGCUCACCAAGGCGAUGAUACAUAGCCGACCUGAGAGGGUGAUCGGCCACAUUGGGACUGAGACACGGCCCAAACUCCUACGGGAGGCAGCAGUAGGGAAUCUUCGGCAACGGACGAAAGUCUGACCGAGCAACGCCGCGUGAGUGAAGAAGGGUGUCGGAUCGUAAAACUCUGUUGGUAGAGAAGAACGUUGGUGAGAGUGGAAAGCUCAUCAAGUGACGGUAACUACCCAGAAAGGGACGGCUAACUACGUG
rnacentral:rRNA from 1 species